GCCACAUGAUGUUUUCUAGAUUGCAUUAGCACUCUGUGCAAAGAUGACCUCCCAUCUAUCACCCAAGGCUGAUGGCU
ensembl:snoRNA SNORD83 Small nucleolar RNA SNORD83